UAGGGAAUCUUCGGCAAUGGGGGGAACCCUGACCGAGCAACGCCGCGUGAGUGAAGAAGGUUUUCGGAUCCUAAAGCUCUGUUGUUAAGGAAGAACGAGUGUGAGAAUGGAAAGUUCAUGCUGUGACGGUACUUAACCAGAAAGGGACGGCUAACUACGUGCCAGCAGCCGCGGUAAUACGUAGGUCCCGAGCGUUGUCCGGAUUUAUUGGGCGUAAAGCGAGCGCAGGCGGUUAGAAAAGUCUGAAGUGAAAGGCAGUGGCUCAACCAUUGUAGGCUUUGGAAACUGUUUAACUUGAGUGCAGAAGGGGAGAGUGGAAUUCCAUGUGUAGCGGUGAAAUGCGUAGAUAUAUGGAGGAACACCGGUGGCGAAAGCGGCUCUCUGGUCUGUAACUGACGCUGAGGCUCGAAAGCGUGGGGAGCGAACAGG
rnacentral:rRNA from 1 species